UGGGGAAUAUUGGACAAUGGGGGAAACCCUGAUCCAGCCAUGCCGCGUGUGUGAAGAAGGCCUUUUGGUUGUAAAGCACUUUAAGCAGUGAAGAAGACUCCGUGGUUAAUACCCACGGACGAUGACAUUAGCUGCAGAAUAAGCACCGGCUAACUCUGUGCCAGCAGCCGCGGUAAUACAGAGGGUGCAAGCGUUAAUCGGAAUUACUGGGCGUAAAGGGAGCGUAGGUGGCUCGAUAAGUCAGAUGUGAAAUCCCCGGGCUCAACCUGGGAACUGCAUCUGAUACUGUUGAGCUAGAGUAUGUGAGAGGAAGGUAGAAUUCCAGGUGUAGCGGUGAAAUGCGUAGAGAUCUGGAGGAAUACCGAUGGCGAAGGCAGCCUUCUGGCAUAAUACUGACACUGAGGCUCGAAAGCGUGGGUAGCAAACA
rnacentral:rRNA from 1 species